rnacentral:snRNA from 1 species
UACUUUCUUCAGAGGUACAUAGACUAAAAUCGGAACGAUACAGAGAUGAUUAGCGUAGCCCCUGAGCAAGGAUAACACUCACGAUCGUGAAGCGUUCCAAUUUUUC